GAUGAAGAACGUAGCGAAAUGCGAUAAGUAAUGUGAAUUGCAGAAUUCAGUCAAUCAUCGAAUCUUUGAACGCACAUUGCGCCCUCUGGUAUUCCGGGGGGCAUGCCUGUUCGAGCGUCAUUAUAACCACUCAAGCUCUCGCUUGGUAUUGGGGUUCGCGGUUCCGCGGCCCCUAAAAUCAGUGGCGGUGCCUGUCGGCUCUACGCGUAGUAAUACUCCUCGCGAUUGAGUCCGGUAGGUCUACUUGCCAGCAACCCCCAAUUUUUACAGGUUGACCUCGGAUCAGGUAGGGAUACUCGCUGAACUUAAGCAUAUCAAUAAGCGGACGA
rnacentral:misc_RNA from 1 species